CGACGCCAGGACAGCGGAGUCAAUCACCACCUUCCGGAGACACCUGAAACCCCACCUCUUUAAGGAAUACCUAGGAUAGGAUAAAGAGGGGUGCGUCACUUGAAUGGGUUGAGUCACUGACGUGGUAUUCCUGUCUGGGUUGGCGCCUCCCCCUUGGGUUGUCCCGUAAUGGAGAUCUUUGUGGGCUAUACUCGGCCUUGUCUUAGGACGGUAAGUUGGUGGUUGGAGACAUACCUCUAGUGGUGUGGGGGCUGUGCUUUGGCAAAGUGUGUGGGGUUAUAUCCUGCCUGUUUGGCCCUGUCCGGGGGUAUCGUCGGAUGGGGCCACAGUGUCUCCUGACCCCUCCUCUCUCCAGUAUUUAUGCUGCAGUAGUUUAUGUGUCGGUGGGCUAGGGUCAGUAUGUUAUAUCUGGAGUAUUUCUCCUGUCUUAUCUAGUGUCCUGUGUGACUUUAAGUAUGCUCUUUCUAAUUCUCUUUCUUUCUCUCUUUCUUUCUCUCUCUCGGAGGACCUGAGCCCUAGGACCAUGCCACAGGACUACCUGGCAUGAUGACUCCUUGUUGUCCCCAGUCCACCUGGCCGUGCUGCUGCUCCAGUUUCAACUGUUCUGCCUGCGGCUAUGGAAUCCUGACCUGUUCACUGUGAUUACUAUUAUUUGACCAUGCUGGUCAUUUAUGAACAUUUGAACAUCUUGGCCAUGUUCUGUUAUAAUCUCCACCCGGGACAGCCAGAAGAGGACUGGCCACCCCUCAUAGCCUGGUUCCUCUCUAGGUUUCUUCCUAGGUUUUGGCCUUUCUAGGGAGUUUUUCCUAGCCACCGUGCUUCUACACCUGCAUUGCUUGCUGUUUGGGGUUUUAGGCUGAGUUUCUGUACAGUACUUUGAUAUAUCAGCUGAUGUAAGAAGGACUAUAUAAAUAAAUUUGAUUUGAUUUGAUGAGAUUGAAGGAAUUAUCCAUAGAGCUCUGGGACAGGAUUGUGUCGAGGUACAGAUCUGGGGAAGGGUACCAAAAAAGUCUGCAGCAUUGAAGGUCCCCAAGAACACAGUGGCCUCCAUCAUUCUUAAAUGGAAGAUGUUUAGAGCCACCGUGGCUCUUAGAGCUAGCGUCCCAGCCAAACUGAGCAAUCAGGGGAGAAGGGCUUUGGUCAGGG
rnacentral:lncRNA from 1 species